rnacentral:antisense_RNA from 1 species
AUGCCCCGCCCCUCACGCAGCGUGCCGUCGGUUGGGUGGGAAGUGAGACCAACUCAGAAAUGGAGCAAUAGAGGCAGGGAGUGGUUUUGGCCUCCCUUCCAGGCUGUAGUCAGUCGAAAGACGGCUCUGGGGUUUCUUUGGCCUGUCGGGACGAACUUACAGAACUUUUGCCCUUCAACAAGCCCCACUGUACCCUUGUAACUGCCCCCAAGCCAAGGAACAUGAUCCACCCCUACCCGCCCCCCCCCCCCACCCCGGGAGCCCCAUGGCUCCUGUCCUGUUCUGUCAUCUCCACCCUAUGAGGGUGGCCAGCGUCUGGAGUUUAGCCCAAUGGACUCUUGCUGUGUUGCCUAGGCUGGAGUGCAGUGGCACCAUGUCGACUCACUGCAACCUCCGCCUCCCCGGGUCAAGCGAUUCUCCUGCCUCAGCUUCCUGAGUAGCUGGGAUUACAGGUGAGCACCACCAUGCCCAGCUAAUCGUAAAAGACUUUUCAUAAAACUUCAGAACUCCUUAAAAACUAGUGAAUAGCCAAGGUGAAGAAAGGCCUCAGGCUUCUGACUUUAGACCCCAAUCCCUG